rnacentral:rRNA from 1 species
AGUGAACGCUGGCGGCAGGCCUAACACAUGCAAGUCGAACGGCAGCACAGCAGUAGCAAUACUGUGGGUGGCGAGUGGCGGACGGGUGAGGAAUACAUCGGAAUCUGCCUAGUCGUGGGGGAUAACGUAGCGAAAGUUACGCUAAUACCGCAUACGAACUAAGGUUGAAAGCGGGGGAUCUUCGGACCUCGUGCUCAUGGAGUGGCCGAUAUCUGAUUAGCUAGUUGGUGAGGUAAAGGCUCACCAAGGCGACGAUCAGUAGCUGGUUUGAGAGAACGACCAGCCACACUGGAACUGAGACACGGUCCAGACUCCUACGGAGGCAGCAGUGGGGAAUUUUGGACAAUGGGCGCAAGCCUGAUCCAGCAAUGCCGCGUGAGUGAAGAAGGCC